AAAGUCUANCCUNCCCAAUGAAUUAAUAUUUUAAUGGCCGCGGUAUACUGNCCGUGCAAAGGUANCAUAAUAAUUAGUUUUUUAAUUGAGAACUGGUAUGAAUGGUUGGAUGAGAAAAAAUCUGUCUCAAUUUAAUUUAAAUUAGAAUUUUAUUUUUAAGUAAAAAAGCUUAAAUAAAUUUAAAAGACGAGAAGACCCUAUAGAGUUUUAUAUAAAAUAUUUUAUGAAAAAUUAAGAAUAGUUCAAAUUUAUAUAAUAUUUUGUAAUUGGUUGGGGUGAUUGAAAAAUUUAAAGAACUUUUUUAUUUUUAAUUCAUUGAUUUAUGUGUUUUUGAUCCA
rnacentral:rRNA from 1 species